AGAGUUUGAUCCUGGCUCAGAACGUACGCUGGCGGCACGCCUAAUACAUGCAAGUCGAACGAAGUAGCAAUACUUAGUGGCAGACGGGUGAGUAACAUGUGGGUAUCUUCCCUUUGGUGAGGAAUAACACGAGGAAACUUGUGCUAAUACCUCAUAAGUCUUUACGGAGAGAGCUUUAUGCGCCAUUGGAUGAGCCUGCACUUGAUUAGUUUGUUGGUGGGGUAAUGGCUUACCAAGACAAUGAUCAAUAGCUGAUUUGAGAGGAUGAUCAGCCACAUUGGGACUGAGACACGGCCCAAACUCCUACGGGAGGCAGCAGUAGGGAAUCUUGCACAAUGGGGGAAACCCUGAUGCAGCGAUGCCGCGUGAGUGAAGAAGGCCUUUGGGUUGUAAAGCUCUUUCGUCGGGGAAGAAAAUGACUGUACCCGAAUAAGAAGGUCCGGCUAACUUCGUGCCAGCAGCCGCAGUAAUACGAAGGGACCUAGCGUAGUUCGGAAUUACUGGGCUUAAAGAGCACGUAGGUGGUUAAAAAAGUUGGUGGUGAAAUCCCAAGGCUUAACCUUGGAACUGCCAUCAAAACUUUUUAGCUAGAGUGUGAUAGAGGGAAGCGGAAUUUCUAGUGUAGAGGUGAAAUUCGUAGAUAUUAGAAAGAACACCAAUUGCGAAGGCAGCUUUCUGGAUCACUACUGACACUGAGGUGCGAGAGCAUGGGUAGCGAAGAGGAUUAGAUACCCUCGUAGUCCAUGCCGUAAACGAUGUGUGCUAGACGUUGGAAAUUUUAUUUUCAGUGUCGCAGCAAAAGCAUUAAGCACACCGCCUGGGGAGUACGACCGCAAGGUUAAAACUCAAAUGAAUUGACGGGGACCCGCACAAGUAGUGGAGCAUGUGGUUUAAUUCGAAGAUACGCGCAGAACCUUACCAACACUUGACAUGUUCGUCGCGACUCUAAGAGAUUAGAGUUUUCGGUUCGGCCGGACGAAACACAGGUGCUGCAUGGCUGUCGUCAGCUCGUGUCGUGAGAUGUUGGGUUAAGUCCCGCAACGAGCGCAACCCUUACUUUUAGUUGCCAUCGUUAAGUUGGGCACUCUGAAAGAACUGCCGGUGAUAAGCUGGAGGAAGGUGGGGAUGACGUCAAGUCCUCAUGGCCCUUACGUGUUGGGCUACACACGUGCUACAAUGGCACUUACAAUAGGAAGCUAAGAGGCGACUCUACGCAAAUCCUAAAAAGGUGCCUCAGUUCGGAUUGUACUCUGCAACUCGAGUGCAUGAAGCUGGAAUUACUAGUAAUCGCGGAUCAGCGCGCCGCGGUGAAUACGUUCCCGGGUCUUGUACACACCGCCCGUCACACCAUGGAAGUUGGUUUCACCUUAAGGCAAAUAGUAAACCUUCGGGAUACAUUUGACUACGGUAUGAUCAGCAACUGGGGUGAAGUCGUAACAAGGUAACC
rnacentral:rRNA from 1 species